AAACUUUUCUUCCUAACUUGUUGGAGACAAAAGAAUAUGUCAGAGAACUAAAGGGUGCUUUGAGUUAUUAAGGUAAAUUAAUUCUGGUAAUUGCUAUGAAGAUAGAAGAUUGCAGUACAGGCUAAGGUUAAUAAAGAUAAUUUAGACAUUUUAUUUAUAUAUAUAUACACUUUCUGUUUCUGUCAGGAUUUACAUUUCCCAGAAUUCCUGGUCAGUAUGGAUUUCAACUAGUGGCCUGAAUGUAACCAAAGACGAGGAAUAUACCUGGGAAAGUACAACCCUUUGCUCUUUUUCCAGAAGGUUUCAUAGUUCUUUCUCCGACUGAUCUACAUUUUGUCCACUGUACCAGAACAAAUUUUUCCAGUUGGCAUGACUCUUCUGGUUAAAGCUGGGCCAGUAAUCAGAAUACAGUUGAAAACCUGUUGGAUGAAGCCCUGAAAGAAGUGUAACAACAGACUGGGAAAGUCAAAUCCAUUAAAAGAAGCUUAAUUCUAGCUUUUGUUUAAUCUAAAAUAUGUAAUAUUAAAAAUGCAUUUUAAAAGAAAAGAAGAAAAACCCAUGUUUCAUGCAUGUAUUGAAUUAGGCACUGGAAAAAAUUGUUAUUGAAUAGUGA
rnacentral:lncRNA from 1 species